GCGUCGGUGGUGCAACGGUUAGCAUACGCGCCUCCAGAGAGUGAGAUCUGGGUUUGAAUCCCUGUUGACGCA